rnacentral:misc_RNA from 1 species
AAGUCGUAACAAGGUUUCCGUAGGUGAACCUGCGGAAGGAUCAUUAAAAGAACAUUUGACCCUGUUUUGGAGACAAGAAUUUUAACAUUUGUCAAUAACUACAACAAAAAAACUUUCAACAACGGAUCUCUUGGUUCUC